rnacentral:rRNA from 1 species
AAAUUGAAGAGUUUGAUCAUGGCUCAGAUUGAACGCUGGCGGCAGGCCUAACACAUGCAAGUCGAGCGGCAGCGGGAAAGUAGCUUGCUACUUUUGCCGGCGAGCGGCGGACGGGUGAGUAAUGCCUGGGGAUCUGCCCAGUCGAGGGGGAUAACUACUGGAAACGGUAGCUAAUACCGCAUACGCCCUACGGGGGAAAGCAGGGGACCUUCGGGCCUUGCGCGAUUGGAUGAACCCAGGUGGGAUUAGCUAGUUGGUGAGGUAAUGGCUCACCAAGGCGACGAUCCCUAGCUGGUCUGAGAGGAUGAUCAGCCACACUGGAACUGAGACACGGUCCAGACUCCUACGGGAGGCAGCAGUGGGGAAUAUUGCACAAUGGGGGAAACCCUGAUGCAGCCAUGCCGCGUGUGUGAAGAAGGCCUUCGGGUUGUAAAGCA